GCCGGGCGUGGUGGCGCGCGCCUGUAGUCCCAGCUACUCGGGAGGCUGAGGUGGGAGGAUCGCUUGAGUCCAGGAAUUCUGGGCUGCAGUGCGCUAUGCCGAUCGGGUGUCCGCACUAAGUUCGGCAUCAAUAUGGUGACCUCCCGGGAGCGGGGGACCACCAAGUUGCCUAAGAAGGGGUGAACCGGCCCAGGUCGGAAACGGAGCAGGUCAAAACUCCCGUGCUGAUCAGUAGUGGGAUCGCGCCUGUGAAUAGCCACUGCACUCCAGCUGGGCAAUAUAGUGAGACCCUGUCUCUU
rnacentral:SRP_RNA from 1 species